rnacentral:lncRNA from 1 species
CGCGCGCUGCAGGUUUCCAGCCUGUGAUUGGGCCAGCAAUUCCGGGAAUGAAUUGAUGACGUCAGCGUUUGAAUUCCAUGGCUGCCAGACGGCGGGCAAGAGGCAGCGGCGCUUCUGCAGUAUUAAAUAAAACCAGGAGAGAUAAUAAUGGCACUACAGAAGACUCACCCCCUGCCAAGAAAACAUGCAAAUAUCAGAGACAGGAAGUGAAAAAGGAGCCUGUAGCUAGAGGAAAGGCUGAUAAGGGCAGGACCGAAGAUACAAAAGAAUCUGUGAAGUCAGUGCUGCUAAAGGGCAAAGCUCCUGUGGACCCAGAAUGUACAGCCAAGGUGGGAAAGGUGAGAGACU